rnacentral:rRNA from 1 species
AGUGAACGCUGGCGGUAGGCCUAACACAUGCAAGUCGAACGGCAGCACAGUAAUAGCUUGCUCUUACGGGUGGCGAGUGGCGGACGGGUGAGGAGUACAUCGCAAUCUACUUUUUCGUGGGGGAGAACGUAGGGGAACUUACGCUAUACCCGCAUACGACCUACGGGUGAAAGCAGGGGAUCUUCGGCCCUUGCGCGAUUGAAUGAGCCGAUGUCGGAUUAGCUAGUUGGCGGGGUAAAGGCCCACCAAGGCGACGAUCCGUAGCUGGUCUGAGAGGAUGAUCAGCCACACUGGAACUGAGACACGGUCCAGACUCCUACGGGAGGCAGCAGUGGGGAAUAUUGGACAAUGGGCGCAAGCCUGAUCCAGCCAUACCGCGUGGGUGAAGAAGGCCUUCGGGUUGUAAAGCCCUUUUGUUGGGAAAGAAAAGCAGCAGGUUAAUACCCCGCUGUUCUGACGGUACCCAAAGAAUAAGCACCGGCUAACUUCGUG